rnacentral:rRNA from 1 species
AGAGUUUGAUCCUGGCUCAGAACGAACGCUGGCGGCAGGCCUAACACAUGCAAGUCGAACGAUAUAGUGGCAGACGGGUGAGUAACGCGUGGGAACGUACCUUUCACUACGGAAUAGCUCCGGGAAACUGGUGGUAAUACCGUAUACGCCCUUAGGGGGAAAGAUUUAUCGGUGAAAGAUCGGCCCGCGUUGGAUUAGCUAGUUGGUGAGGUAAUGGCUCACAAAGGCGACGAUCCAUAGCUGGUCUGAGAGGAUGAUCAGCCACACUGGGACUGAGACACGGCCCAGACUCCUACGGGAGGCAGCAGUGGGGAAUCUUGCACAAUGGGCGAAAGCCUGAUGCAGCCAUGCCGCGUGAAUGAUGAAGGCCUUAGGGUUGUAAAAUUCUUUCGUCAGGGAUGAUAAUGACCGUACCUGAAGAAGAAGCCCCGGCUAACUUCGUGCCAGCAGCCGCGGUAAUACGAAGGGGGCUAGCGUUGUUCGGAAUUACUGGGCGUAAAGCGCACGUAGGCGGACUUUUAAGUCAGGUGUGAAAUCCCGGGGCUCAACCUCGGAACUGCAUUUGAAACUGGGAGUCUUGAGACCAGGAGAGGUUAGCGGAAUACCGAGUGUAGAGGUGAAAUUCGUAGAUAUUCGGUGGAACACCAGUGGCGAAGGCGGCUAACUGGACUGGUACUGACGCUGAGGUGCGAAAGUGUGGGGAGCAA